CCCUUCCUAGAGCAGAAGGAAGCUCCGGCUCGGAGCCCUGGCUCCUCCCAAGAAAGUGUUGCGCGGUGCAGAAGCAGGUCGUCCUCCUGCCGACCGGCGCCCUCCGUCCCUCCUGGGGGUUGCAAGGCCGAGCCCUGGGGCGGAGCCCAGGCAGCCUCCACGCCGAGCGUUUCCGGUUCCCGCCUGAUGGGGACAUGAGGGUCAGUGCUGCCGUCCUUCUGUGAGAACUCCGCCUUGGACAAAGGCAGCGUGAGGUUCUUCUUAGAUCCCUCCGCCGGGCGCUGGGCCUGUAGCCGCCGCAGUAGGGCUCGUGGAGUGCAGAGCAGACGAGACCCAUUUGGAGAGAACAGCGGAGGCUGGCUGUGAGUGCACAACCCGAGCAACUGCGCGCAGAAGCUCCCAGACGCUCUGCAUUAAGAAGAAGGUUGGCGAACUGGCUUCACCGAGCUGCUCUCUGGCCCUUGGUGUGGGAGACAGCAUCGCCAGGCCCAGGUCGGUCCUGUGGAUGGCACUGGGAAAGGAAGCUGUGGAGGAACAUCUGGAAGCUCGGGAAGCUCGGGGCUACCUGGGGCAGUUUCUCUUCCAGUCCCGGCCCCAGGCCCACGAGUCCUGGGAUGCUGGCUGCUCCCGAACUUCCUGUAUCUGCCAGUUCCUUCCAUUAGUCUCACUUCUUUCCGGGCCUCUGCUGAGUGAAAGGAAAGCCACGAGGGAGCACAGAUUCUGAGUGGGAAAGACUUGUGGGAUGCGGGGCCCGAGAACACAGGGCACCAUCUGCAAGUUGCUCUGCAGGACACUUCUCUCGGCAGCCUGCUGACCUACAAAGGUGGCUCCAGCCAGCAGGUGCGAGAGUCUCGCUGCCCAGUGGACCGCAGAAUGACAACUGCGGGAUUACAAAGCUUCGAGUGGGCUCACAUCCUAGCGAAGAGAUCGGCUUUCUCCAGCUCAAAUGCGCCCCUCUGCAAAGACUACACAUUGCUCCUUGCUGACAGACUUUCACAGUGCGCUUGAAAAGAAACCUGUUCCAUCCGCAAAA